rnacentral:rRNA from 1 species
AGCUCCAAUAGCGUAUAUUAAAGUUGUUGCAGUUAAAAAGCUCGUAGUUGGAUUUCUGGUGCAUUCCACUGGCCUAUUGGUUAACUCCAACUUGGCUCAUUUGGAAUACGCCAUCUUUAGGCAGACCCGUCGUGGCAUUAGGUUGUCGUGAUGGUUACGCCUAUCGUUUACUGUGAAGAAAUUAGGGUGUUCAAAGCAGGCUUAUGCCAUGAAUACGUUAGCAUGGAAUAAUGAGAUAGGAUUUCGGUACUAUUUUGUUGGUUUGUGUACGGAAAUAAUGAUUAACAGGAACAGUGUUGUGGGUAUUCGUAUUUCGUUGUCAGAGGUGAAAUUCUUGGAUUUACGAAAGACGAACGACUGCGAAAGCAUUUACCAAGGAUGUUUUCAUCA